UACGUAGGGUGCAAGCGUUGUCCGGAAUUAUUGGGCGUAAAGGGCGUGUAGGCGGUCCGCUAAGUCUGAUGUGAAAGCCCGGGGCUCACCCCCGGAAGGGCAUUGGAAACUGGCGGACUCGAGUCCCGGAGAGGAAGGUGGAAUUCCUGGUGUAGCGGUGAAAUGCGUAGAUAUCAGGAGGAAUACCGGUGGCGAAGGCGGCCUUCUGGACGGUGACUGACGCUGAGACGCGAAAGCGUGGGGAGCAAACAGG
rnacentral:rRNA from 1 species